rnacentral:rRNA from 1 species
GACGAACGCUGGCGGCGUGCUUAACACAUGCAAGUCGAGCGGUAAGGCCCUUUCGGGGGUACACGAGCGGCGAACGGGUGAGUAACACGUGGGUGACCUGCCCUUAGCUCUGGGAUAAGCCUGGGAAACUGGGUCUAAUACCGGAUAUGACCUCACAGCGUAUGUUGUGGGGUGGAAAGCCUUGUGCGGCUAGGGAUGGGCCCGCGGCCUAUCAGCUUGUUGGUGGGGUGAUGGCCUACCAAGGCGACGACGGGUAGCCGGCCUGAGAGGGCGACCGGCCACACUGGGACUGAGACACGGCCCAGACUCCUACGGGAGGCAGCAGUGGGGAAUCUUGCGCAAUGGGCGAAAGCCUGACGCAGCGACGCCGCGUGAGGGAUGACGGCCUC